rnacentral:rRNA from 1 species
AGCAGCCGCGGUAAUUCCAGCUCCAAUAGCGUAUAUUAAAGUUGUUGCAGUUAAAAAGCUCGUAGUUGAAUUUCGGGGUCAGUAGGUUGGUCAUGCCUUUGGUAUGUACUGGUCUCACUGAUUCCUCCCUCUUGAAGAACUGUAAUGUCAUUAAUUUGGUGUUGCGGGGAAUCAGGACUGUUACUUUGAAAAAAUUAGAGUGUUUAAAGCAGGCUUACGCUUGAAUACAUUAGCAUGGAAUAAUGAAAUAGGACGUUUGAUCCUAUUUUGUUGGUUUCUAGGAUUGACGUAAUGAUUAAUAGGGAUAGUUGGGGGCAUUAGUAUUCAAUUGUCAGAGGUGAAAUUCUUGGAUUUAUUGAAGACUAACUACUGCGAAAGCAUUUGCCAAGGAUGUUUUCAUUAAUCAAGAACGAAAGUUAGGGGAUCGAAGACGAUCAGAUACCGUCGUAGUCUUAACCAUAAACUAUGCCGACUAGGGAUCGGAUGAUGUUAAUUUUUUCAAUGACUCAUUCGGCGCCUU